rnacentral:lncRNA from 1 species
AUUCAUAUUACAUAGCUCAUGUUCAAAUGGUUAUGAGCUCAAAACUGCUAUAACAACAACCUAAAAUUAGAAUCAAAAUUCAACAAGAUGCACUAACUUUCUGCCUCAGGGAUCAUCAUCCAAGUGUUUUAAGAUUUAGCUAUCAUCUAGGAAGUUAGAUGUAUCCUAAAAAGCUCCUAUAAGCAUACAUUUUAUUCAUUCUCACUUUCUUCUGCACUUCAUAAGCAUGUCCAGCUUCCAUUCUACUAAACGAAGAGAUGUAUUUCAUUCAACCAUCUUAAUCUUUUUUCUUUGUUUGAAAA